UGUUUUUUCAUUGAUAGGUUACUGGGUGUCCUAUCCAUUGUAAAAGGAACUUGUUUCACUCUACCUCUUCCCUCCACUCUCCUUUUCUCCUCCUCCUAGCUAAUUUAAAAAAAAGAAAACCUCUUUCCUUUCACUGCUCUUUUUUUCUUGUUCUUGUCUUUUUUUUCUUCCUUCCUCCUUAUUUUGAUUUCUUAAUUCACUGAUACUCAUUUGUGAAUUAUUUUGGGGAAGAAAUCUGACUCAGAGUGGACUCUGUGUGUCUCUCUCUUCUCUACUUCCCUUUCUCCUCUUGCUAUCCCUAGAAUUUUCAGUGGACAGUAAAUUUGCAUAAUUGUCUUUUCUUGCUUUCCCUUUUCUCCUUUCUCUUUUGGAUUUGGUUGCUAUUUUUUUCUUGGACUGGAAGUGUUGUUUGGCUAACUGGUAUUGGUUAAACUGCAUCAAUCCUUGCUUCAGUUACUAUUGUUGUAAUUUCUAAGGUUGGUGACUGCAUUUGUCAUAAAGGUAUUUAGUAUAGCGUGGUGGCUUGUACUCAAAACACAGCAACUGAAGAACAACAGGACAGAAAAACAAAAAACACAUCAAUAAAAAAAAUGGUUAAAUCAAGAGCAAAUAAAACUGCUACAACAGUGAAUCAAGAAGCUUCACAAACAGUAUAGCAGUGCUAUGAUGUCUCUCCAUUUAUCUCCUCAUACUCUGUCUCUCAUUCUCUAUUUGAAAAAAAUAAAAUACCUAGAGUAGUGUCAGGAUUGUGCAUGUAUGAAAUCCCAGAUAAAAACCCCAGAGGCAAAACAAAUCAGUUUUUAAAGAUCUGUAAUUAUUUUAUUCACUGCCAUAGCUACAGUACCUAGCAGUUUUUCUCUAUAAUCAAAUAUAAGAUUUUGUGCAUUCAGAGUCUAUGGGAAGAACUGGAAUCAUAACAGUAAUAUUUAAGCAGACAUUGUUUCAUCUCUUACCAUCUGAAGUAACCAUCUAAUCCCUUUCAACUACCUCUAAUUUGGUAAGGCAUCAACAUCUAUUCUCAAUUCACCCUGUCUACCUACAGCAAGUCAUCUGCUAUUUUCCUGCUGUCUGGAAUCUUGUACUUCAAGGGUCUUAGGCUCCCUUAUUGCCAUGCUGAUGGUAAAGAUUAGAAACAAAUUUGGCUUUCUGUCUGGGACUCUGAGAACCUCUCCUGAUGCCCAUCUGAUGUGCUGAUGCCUCUCUUACACAUCUUUUCUAAUUGCCAACUUGCUCUGCUGCUGCCUCUUCCAGUGGGUGGGGACGGGGGAACACACCCUCAUACUAUUGGUACCGUACACUAUACUCUGUUCCUGAGUGCACACACAGUUACUCUCAAUGUCUUUCUACUGUCGUUUGAACUUGGGAUUUUACUGCUGUUUUCUUCAGUUCCCUUGGACAAAUGAUUAUUGGGGGAAGUAGUUCUGUAGGACAACCUCACCAGCAAUCAUCUGGCAACUCAAAAACUUCCCUUCUCCUUUGACAACACACAAUUAGGGAACCAGUUUUGCUCACCACAAAUCUGAUUUCUCACCAUGAAUUUUUCCAUUUGCGGGUAUUUUGUUGCUCAGGCAAACAGGUCCUUGAAGGAUGCAAUGUCUCCAGCCAUCAGCAAAAGACUGGACUCUGCCUCGGGCUCCAGUCACAGGACUCAGUCAGGACUUUCUCCUCCCUUAUCUUGAUCUCAGCAUUGGAGCCACUGACUUCUGGAGAAACUGGCAACAUCUCCUCUCCCAGGACUACUACAUGACAUUCUCAGGGCUCAAGGAGUGAGUAUAAGUGAAAGCCUAUUUUGUCCUAAUGCUAAACAUUUUUUGAGGAGGAGACAAAUUAAGUAAAAUAUAUUCUAGUGGUCUGGGAGAUGGCACAGUGAUAAAGCUUUGGACUCUCAGGCAUGAUGUCCCCAGUUCGAUCCCCAGCUGCACAUGUGCCAGAGUGAUGUCUGGUUCUUUUUCUCCUCUUAUCUUUCUCAUAAAUAAAUAAAAAUAUUUUAAAUAUA